rnacentral:rRNA from 1 species
GCUAACGCUGGCGGCGCGCCUAACACAUGCAAGUCGAACGAACCCUUCGGGGUUAGUGGCAGACGGGUGAGUAACGCGUGGAUAAUGUGCCUUUUUGCUGGGGAUACCGUUUCGAAAGGAACGUUAAUACCGUAAUGUGCUCGACUGGUGGCAUCACCUAUCGAGUAAACUUUCAGGGCGAAAAGAGCAAUCCGCGUUCUAUCAGCUUGUUGGUGGGGUAACGGCCUACCAAGGCUACGACGGAUAACUGGUCUGAGAGGAUGAUCAGUCACACUGGAACUGAGACACGGUCCAGACUCCUACGGGAGGCAGCAGUGAGGAAUCUUGCACAAUGGGCGAAAGCCUGAUGCAGCGACGCCGCGUGAGGGACUAAGGCCUUCGGGUUGUAAACCUCUGUCAGUAGGGAAGAAGAUUGACGGUACCUACUGAGGAAGCUUCGGCUAACUACGU